rnacentral:rRNA from 1 species
UACGUAGGGUGCGAGCGUUAAUCGGAAUUACUGGGCGUAAAGCGUGCGCAGGCGGUUUUGUAAGACAGAGGUGAAAUCCCCGGGCUCAACCUGGGAACUGCCUUUGUGACUGCAAGGCUUGAGUGCGGCAGAGGGGGAUGGAAUUCCGCGUGUAGCAGUGAAAUGCGUAGAUAUGCGGAGGAACACCGAUGGCGAAGGCAAUCCCCUGGGCCUGCACUGACGCUCAUGCACGAAAGCGUGGGGAGCAAUCAGG